AUUGAACGCUGGCGGCAUGCCUUACACAUGCAAGUCGAACGGCAGCACGGGUGCUUGCAUCUGGUGGCGAGUGGCGAACGGGUGAGUAAUACAUCGGAACGUACCUUAUCGUGGGGGAUAACGCAGCGAAAGCUGUGCUAAUACCGCAUACGCCCUGAGGGGGAAAGCGGGGGAUCGCAAGACCUCGCGCGAUUAGAGAGGCCGAUGCCUGAUUAGCUUGUUGGUGGGGUAAAAGCCCACCAAGGCGACGAUCAGUAGCUGGUCUGAGAGGACGAUCAGCCACACUGGGACUGAGACACGGCCCAGACUCCUACGGGAGGCAGCAGUGGGGAAUUUUGGACAAUGGGGGCAACCCUGAUCCAGCAAUGCCGCGUGAGUGAAGAAGGCCUUCGGGUUGUAAAGCUCUUUUGUCAGGGAAGAAACACCGGCUCUAACACAGUCCGGGAAUGACGGUACCUGAAGAAUAAGCACCGGCUAACUACGUGCCAGCCGCCGCCGUAAGAC
rnacentral:rRNA from 1 species